ACUGACGGCCCGUGUCUGCUUUAAAGGAGCUGCAAAGCAUACGACGUUAAAUCUGCAUUGCCACUGCUUUAUUAUUUCAGUUAUAUGAACUAAUGAACAUUAAGUCAAUUUAAUGAACUAUUCUACAAUGUAUUCCGACUCUUUUAUUGAAUAGUGAACUAAUUCUGUUUUGGUUAAAAUAUCUUAUUGUUUGGAAAGCCGUCUAACAUUAACAAAAUUUGUAAAAUUAAAAUAAAUUGUUUCUAAAGGUAUUCGGUAUAAUGGAAGACAAAACAAAUAACACUUUCAAGUAAGUAAAUAUUUUAUAAAAUAUGUUUAAUGAAAAAUUUAUGUAUACAUUUAUUUAUACCUUUAUAUAUAUACAUAAAAAUUUAUGUACGCAGGCGUGGCUGUGUGGUAAGAAGCUCGCUUUUUUUUUUUUUUUUUUUUUUAAACUUGUGUUUGACUUUUUGGGGGACUUAAAAACAUGGCAAAGAAAGCUGAUAAGGUGUUGGAGUGGAAAAUUGUCCCACCCAAACAGUGGUUAAAAAGUCUUGAGGAAAGGACGGUGGUUCUGCGGACGUACCCCAAGUCGCUCGACACCAUCGCCGUCUUCAAAAAGAUUGAUACAGAGAGAGAGAGAGAGAGAGUUGGCGGAAUACAUUCCAACUAUAAAAUUUAUUUCUAGGGGUGUCAAAUAUGCGACGCUGUGGUUGAAGAAGCUCGCAAUUUCGCGAGUCAGCCCUUAGAGGGCGAAGAGAUAUUGUUUCUUCCCACGUAUAGUGUGGGAAGAAGUUGACAAGGGCUUGUGUCUGCGGGUUGCCACCCGGGAUAGAACCCGAGUGGAUAGAAGACACCAUCCGUUGGGGUCUGGGUGGCAGCGGAGCCAAUCUCCUCAAUGUGAAAAUUUUGCCUGCGGCUGAUUGGGUAGGGUCAAAAGCUGUUUUGACUCUGUGGACCCAAUCAGCCAAGAAUCUGAUGUUUCCAGAUUCUCUGAGAAUGGCCGGUUGUAGGUAUCCGGUGAUUCUUGAAGGAGCCCCCCCACCCCCAAGUGUUACCUGUGCCUGGGACCAGACCACAUUAAAAAGAACUGUCCCCAGGACCAAAGUAAGGUGCGGUGAUGGUGUGUUUAUGUCCCCGUAAUUUAGCGGUUCGGCAAAAGAGCCCGCUAGAAUAAAUACCAGGCUUCAACAAAAACAUUUGGGGUCAAUUUGUUCGACUAAAAGCUCUUUUAGGCGGUGCCCCAGCAUGGCCGCAGUCAAGUGGCUGAAACAAGUAAGAGAUAAAGAUUUAGAGAUGUGUAAACUUCUGAAUUCAACAUGGGAUUGGAUUACAUUAGGUUAAAAUACAUUAAAUUAAAUUCAGAAGAAAAGAAAACGUUUGAGAUAUUUUUUUUUUAAUCUUCUGUUUGUUGUUAGGAUUACACCAUCUGAUAUGGCCUUUGCUUAUUUAAGAUAGCUGUGUGAAGUGAUGUGAGAUUUAGCUGUUAUUACUAGCAGGCUGGGUAACCACGUACAGGCACACUCGUUGACUCCCAUGCUACAUUUCGAUUUCUUGUUGGUGUUUUACAUGUAAAAUGAAUGUUUAUUUAAUUCAAGAAUAGUUUCGUAUUAGAUACCGUUCUAUUUAGAAAUAAUUCUGUGACACUUUGGUUUCCAAAUAAGAUUUUCCAGACUGGAUGGUCACUAUAUCACUUUUAUUGCGAGAGAGGUUAAGGAACACAGUGCUUUAAAAUCAACAUUAAAAUCAAGCAUUAUUUUACUGGUACUUUUCCCACUAACGUUGGAAUGAUAAAUAGAAACGCUGGCACCGUCUGGAUGCGAACUCGAAACAUGAAUAUCUUGUUACCAUAUACAGCAAAUAAUUUUGUCCAGCAUUCAAAUAAUUCUACUCCCCAUCUUUUCAGUCAUCUAUCGUAUAGCAACAUCUUGAUAAGAAGUAGAAGUUAAAAAUUUCUCUUGUAUUUGUUUGAUAAUUUUAGCUGAUUUAUGCAAAUUGAAAUUGCUUAAUGGAAUCGGGAUUCCAAGAAUGUCUCAAAGAUCCUAAACAAUCUAUCAAAAACAUUUCUUAUGUUUAAUAUACAUAUUUUUCUUUCAUUUUGUAUUAUUUAAUAGAGCCCAUAUUGUAGCAAAGGAUUGUCAGAAAAUUGAUUGUUGCAUAUUAGGUUGAUGUCAAAAUAAUUGCAAUUUUUAUUAUUUUCAACUUUGUUUUCUUAUUUUGGAAUAAAUUUUACUGAAAUAUAUUAAUACAUUCUACUAUUUUAAAGCAAAACUUACGGUCUAUUGAUUUAUGCUAAUGGUUUUCAUUCAACGUUUAUUCUUGUUUAUUUUAGACUGUCAAAUUAAAGAUGGAAGAAGAGCAAAUUCGAACGAUAUUUAUUUUAUUUUAUUCUAUGAGUUCAUUUCUUGAUUGCAUUGUGACAUGUGACUAAAGAUGGAUGCUGUGCGACAACCGACAGCGUUUUAUGCAGCAGCUUGACUGAAAUCAGUACGAAACACUUUUCAAAACUAAAGCUGCUUCAAAUGGAAAUUACAGUCAGUAAAUAAAAUCAUCCACUGUUUUGUUUUUUUAAUCCUAAAGAUACCAUUACAGUUGGAAAGUAUUGCCCCAAAAUCAACAAAAUAUGCCCAGAAUUGCAGCAUUUACUACCAGCAUUGGUGAAUCGAAAAGAACCAGUUCUUCUUGAUGACAACACCGCACAUCAUGCCUCGUAAAUAACUCUGAAGAAACUAAAUAACUGGGAAACGAAACUCUACUUCAUUCAGCUUAUAGCUUAGACCACUCGACUACCACAUUUUCAAGCAUCUCGAUAACUUAGUCUACAAGGAUUCCAACAACCAAACAAGAACUGAAAAAUAUCUUCGAAAAAUCCACUGAUAGAAGUUUCUCAGAAUUCUGUGCAUACAGGAAAAAGAAAACUCUGUCUUGUUGGCAUGAAUGAAAACAUUCAGUUUCGAAUGUUUAUUAUUUCGAGUAAUUAAAUUUAUUUUGAACAGAGAUGCUUAAAAUACUUAAAAAACCACAUUUUUGUUUUGAAGUUUUUCAUUUAGGGGAGAAAUGCUUGAAUGUCGUAAACACGAGAUAUGUAUUUAGUAGGUAAGUCUACAUUCUGCAACCUUCAACUGGGGGGAAUACAUUUCCUUUCUGCUUCUGUAAUGACCCCUGUUUCUCAGGACUAGAUACUAUUCAUUUCUCCGCAACCUAUUAAAUCCAUUGUAUUUCUUUCAACCAAGACAGGAGCUUUAUACAUCUGCAAUUCCUCGGGACCCAUGGAGAGCAUGAUUAGAUCUAUUAACCAUUAAGCGGUUGCAAGAUAAGUUUCUUGUGACUAGCUUUUCCAAGUGAGGCGAUGGAAUUUAGCGCUGCAAACUAACAAAUCAUUGGGUAAUAGGCUACUUACUACCCCACGGUGCCUUCUUGUAACCAGUCGAACCUUACUGUUGGGAAAUAUUUUUUGACAGGGAGACAACGCAACAUCGGUUAAAGUAUGUAAACUGCUGAUCUCUCAUCUGGUCAGUAGUUAUCCUAUUAUCCUCUGGAAGCACUCCGUCGUUUACGACGACGAGGGUUCCGGUUGAUCCGAUCAACAGAACAGCC
rnacentral:lncRNA from 1 species